UCUAGAAGGCACCAUCUAUGAGCAUGGAGACCACAGUGUUCUGUUCUGAGUCCUAAGCACCCAGCAUAGUUCAAGGUCCAAGAGAACAGCUAGAUAAGAUUAGUGAAGGAAGUCAUACCACCUGUCUUAGGGUUUCUGUUGCUGUGAACGGACACCAUGACCAAGGCAACUCUUAUAAAAGCACCUGACAGAACCCCAUUCAACUUGGAAGAAGAUGAUGGACAUCAAAAACCUCCACAUGGAGUUGCUUCAACUGUGGCCAGGCUAGCCACUGGGCAAAGAAAACUCCCUGAACUCCUCUGCAGACUAAGUAUUGUCCAAAAGGGACAAAUGAAUGCAAGGAAGUCAAUUGCCAAGCUCUGCCAAGACAGGCACAUUCAUGAAUGCUUCAGAGGACAUCUUGACCUUUUCCUCAUUUUGCACUGACAGUAGAGAAUGAAGGUUCCACCCACUGAGACCAAGCCUCCUCCACCCGUGGGUGCUUCUCCACAUGCUACGAUGGCUACCUGUCCCCUUGUCCAGAGACAUGGAUGAAGCUUUCAGCUUACAGUUCUGUCCUUGAUAAAAGUCAAAGCACCACCACAGUCAGCCAUGCAUCCAGGUGACUCUACUUUGUCCCAUCAUUCUAUAGAA
rnacentral:sRNA from 1 species